rnacentral:tRNA from 1 species
GCCGGGGUGGCGAAACUGGCGAUACGCGGCCGACUUAAAAUCGGCUGUCCCCCAGCGGGGGCGUGCGGGUUCGAGUCCCGCCCCCGGCA